rnacentral:piRNA from 1 species
UAGCGUUAGGCGCUACGUGAGCCGCAUC